CGCGGCCUAUCAGCUUGUUGGUGAGGUAACGGCUCACCAAGGCGACGACGGGUAGCCGGCCUGAGAGGGUGACCGGCCACACUGGGACUGAGACACGGCCCAGACUCCUACGGGAGGCAGCAGUAGGGAAUAUUGCACAAUGGGCGAAAGCCUGAUGCAGCAACGCCGCGUGCGGGAAGAAGGCCCUAGGGUUGUAAACCGCUUUCAGCAGGGAAGAAAAUGACGGUACCUGCAGAAGAAGGUGCGGCCAACUACGUGCCAGCAGCCGCGGUGACACGUAGGCACCAAGCGUUGUCCGGAUUUAUUGGGCGUAAAGAGCUCGUAGGCGGUUCAGUAAGUCGGGUGUGAAAACUCUGGGCUCAACCCAGAGACGCCACUCGAUACUGCUGUGACUCGAGUGCGGUAGGGGAGCGGGGAAUUCCUAGUGUAGCGGUGAAAUGCGCAGAUAUUAGGAGGAACACCAGUGGCGAAGGCGCCGCUCUGGGCCGUAACUGACGCUGAGGAGCGAAAGCGUGGGUAGCAAACAGGAUUAGAUACCCUGGUAGUCCACGCCGUAAACGUUGGGCACUAGGUGUGGGUCUCAACCAACGAGAUCCGCGCCGUCGCUAACGCAUUAAGUGCCCCGCCUGGGGAGUACAAUCUCGA
rnacentral:rRNA from 1 species